rnacentral:lncRNA from 1 species
AAUUUCAGAAUUUGGCACAUAGAAUUUCAGAAUUUGGCACAUACCUUUCACACCUCGAUACAUAAUCUGAAACUCAUACUUUAUCUCAAAUUUUUGAAGUUUCAUCUUUAAUGAAAUAUAAAAGAAAGGGGGAGUAAUUCAAAAGGUCAAAUUGGAAAUAUUUGGAUGAAAUAGGGGGAGACUUCACUCUCAAAUUUGAAAAGCUGAAAUUCAACAACUUGAGCCCUUCUAAAACUAAUUUUAAGAUAAGUAUCAAUAGGCUCAUACUCAAUAUUUUGUAAUCAUCAAAAAGGAGGAGAUUGAGGAUGAUAGUGGUAUUUUGAUGAUUAAUACAACGAUUAAGAGUAUGUUACGAGUUAAUUCGAUACAUCAUUAAUAAGUCCGUCACUCUCGAUACAUUAGUAUAAUGAGAUAAAAUUUGCGAUAGAAAAGGGAUAGUGAACUCUAAAUUCUAAUUUGGCAAAGUUUCAAGUGAAACAUACUCUUAAGUGGACAAUAGUAAUUUUCAUUGUUUAGAGUAUGUAGCACUACCAUGACAUAUAUUCAAAAUUGUUUAAAGUUUAUUUCAUUGAUUAUAUGGAUGAAUCUAACCUUAAGUUGCAGCAAAGUGUGGAUUGAGUCGACCCCAAGAUUGAUUGAGUCGACCCCGGCACAUCAAGAAA